rnacentral:rRNA from 2 species
GACGAACGCUGGCGGCGUGCUUAACACAUGCAAGUCGAACGAUGAAGCCCAGCUUGCUGGGUGGAUUAGUGGCGAACGGGUGAGUAACACGUGAGUAACCUGCCCUUCACUCUGGGAUAACUCCGGGAAACCGGUGCUAAUACUGGAUAUGACCUCCUUCCGCAUGGUUGGGGGUGGAAAGUUUUUCGGUGGGGGAUGGACUCGCGGCCUAUCAGCUUGUUGGUGGGGUAAUGGCCUACCAAGGCGACGACGGGUAGCCGGCCUGAGAGGGCGACCGGCCACACUGGGACUGAGACACGGCCCAGACUCCUACGGGAGGCAGCAGUGGGGAAUAUUGCACAAUGGGCGAAAGCCUGAUGCAGCGACGCCGCGUGAGGGAUGACGGCCUUCGGGUUGUAAACCUCUUUCAGUAGGGACGAAGCUUUUGUGACGGUACCUACAGAAGAAGCACCGGCUAACUACGUGCCAGCAGCCGCGGUAAUACGUAGGGUGCGAGCGUUGUCCGGAAUUAUUGGGCGUAAAGAGCUUGUAGGCGGUUUGUCGCGUCUGCUGUGAAAGCCCGGGGCUUAACUCCGGGUCUGCAGUGGGUACGGGCAGACUAGAGUAUGGUAGGGGAGACUGGAAUUCCUGGUGUAGCGGUGGAAUGCGCAGAUAUCAGGAGGAACACCGAUGGCGAAGGCAGGUCUCUGGGCCAUAACUGACGCUGAGAAGCGAAAGCAUGGGUAGCGAACAGGAUUAGAUACCCUGGUAGUCCAUGCCGUAAACGUUGGGCGCUAGGUGUGGGGCUCAUUCCACGAGUUCCGUGCCGCAGCUAACGCAUUAAGCGCCCCGCCUGGGGAGUACGGCCGCAAGGCUAAAACUCAAAGGAAUUGACGGGGGCCCGCACAAGCGGCGGAGCAUGCGGAUUAAUUCGAUGCAACGCGAAGAACCUUACCAAGGCUUGACAUAUACCGGAAACAUUCAGAGAUGGGUGCCCCGCAAGGUCGGUAUACAGGUGGUGCAUGGUUGUCGUCAGCUCGUGUCGUGAGAUGUUGGGUUAAGUCCCGCAACGAGCGCAACCCUCGUUCUAUGUUGCCAGCACGUGAUGGUGGGGACUCAUAGGAGACUGCCGGGGUCAACUCGGAGGAAGGUGGGGAUGACGUCAAAUCAUCAUGCCCCUUACGUCUUGGGCUUCACGCAUGCUACAAUGGCCGGUACAAAGGGCUGCGAAACCGCGAGGUGGAGCGAAUCCCAAAAAACCGGUCUCAGUUCGGAUUGGGGUCUGCAACUCGACCCCAUGAAGUCGGAGUCGCUAGUAAUCGCAGAUCAGCAACGCUGCGGUGAAUACGUUCCCGGGCCUUGUACACACCGCCCGUCAAGUCACGAAAGUCGGUAACACCCGAAGCCGGUGGCCCAACCCCUUGUGGGAGGGAGCCGUCGAAGGUGGGACUGGUGAUUGGGACU